UAGGGAAUCUUGCGCAAUGGGCGAAAGCCUGACGCAGCAAUGCCGCGUGAGGGAAGACGGCCUUAGGGUUGUAAACCUCUUUCGGUUGGGACGAAGCUUCUACGGUUAAUAGCCGUAUGGAGUGACGGUACCUUCAGAAGAAGCCCCGGCUAACUACGUGCCAGCAGCCGCGGUAAUACGUAGGGGGCAAGCGUUGUCCGGAAUCAUUGGGCGUAAAGCGCGUGUAGGCCGCCCGGAAAGUCUGAUGUGAAAACUUGGGGCUCAACCCUAAGCCUGCAUUGGAUACUGUCGGGCUCGAGUCUGGAAGAGGAGAGUGGAAUUCCUGGUGUAGCGGUGGAAUGCGCAGAUAUCAGGAGGAACACCAAUGGCGAAGGCAGCUCUCUGGUACAUGACUGACGCUGAGACGCGAAAGCGUGGGUAGCAAACAG
rnacentral:rRNA from 1 species